rnacentral:lncRNA from 1 species
CUAUCAUUAGUGGCUCAAAUUUGGAAUCAUCUCUGACAUAUUUUUUGAAGAUAUAAAAUCUGAAGUUCUUAAAAGAUAUCACAACAUUGAUGACAUCAAUCUGAUGAGAUUCUACACGGAGAUAGGUCAUCCUUGGAUAUUAAAGUGGGAGCUCAACAUAAAAGCUGAUCAGUUUCCAAUAUUUUUGAGCAAAAAAAUAUAUA